GACGAACGCUGGCGGCGUGCUUAACACAUGCAAGUCGAACGGAAAGGCCUGCUUUCCCUUGUGGAUUGCGGGUACUCGAGUGGCGAACGGGUGAGUAACACGUGAGUGAUCUGCCCCCAACUUGGGUAUAAGCCUGGGAAACUGGGUCUAAUUCCCGAUAGGACUGCAGGGUGGUGCCUGUGGUGGAAAACGAUUUUCUAGUGGUUGGGGAUGAGCUCGCGGCCUAUCAGCUUGUUGGUGGGGUAAUGGCCUACCAAGGCGGCGACGGGUAGCCGGCCUGAGAGGGUGGACGGCCACAUUGGGACUGAGAUACGGCCCAGACUCCUACGGGAGGCAGCAGUGGGGAAUAUUGCACAAUGGGCGGAAGCCUGAUGCAGCGACGCCGCGUAGGGGAUGACGGCCUUCGGGUUGUAAACUCCUUUCGACCGCGAGGAAGCCACCUGGUUGGAAGGGUGGUGACGGUAGUGGUAGAAGAAGCACCGGCUAACUACGUG
rnacentral:rRNA from 1 species